CGCUAGGAAGCUAACCAGGGCCCUCAGCGUUAGCCUUUUAAGCUAAAGAUUGGUGCCUCCCGACCACCCCCAGCGG
rnacentral:tRNA from 1 species